GGGGGGCAACCAAGCUGGCCUGUCUUACGAUUCUGCCUUCUAGACCUGAAACUCUUUUGUCUUUGCUCUUCUGGGCCUUUCUUCUGUCUUGCUUUCCCAUCCCACACCCUUCAUCAACAGAACCUCUUCACCCAGUCCAGGCUGCUCUGACUUUUUUCACAUUGUUUUCUAAAUGAGACCUCGCUCCUUCCGCCUUGAUAGAGCUAAGAGCACACACUGUGGAAUUAAAUCUACCCAGCCCUGCUACUUACAAGCUGUGUGAUCUUGGGCAAUUACUCGACCUCUCUGUGCUACAGAUUUUACAGCGUAAAACCAGUACUGGCACUCACUUAACAAUGCUGCAGGGGGAAUUACACAAGUAUGACAGCAAGGACUGGAACUGAAUGCUCAUCACCAGCUUUGCACUGGCUACAGUUGGGGGCCUCCAAUGAAUACAGUGUUACCCCACAGAAGACUUAUGGGUUACGAAAGGGGACCUGGAGGUCACCACCUUAAUCAUGGAUCAAUCUUAUCAUCAGUAAGGAACCAACUGACCCUCUGAUGUGAUGCACUGAGAAGGGACACAUCCCCCAUAUAGUACUCCUGCUAAAAAUGUUCAACCUGAAUCUAACGCAAACUGGGGGACAUUCUGCAAAACAGCUAGCCUGGACUCUUAAAAAAUAUCAAUAUCACAAGAGAAACAAAACAAAACCCUGGAGUAGUGUUGUUGAUUAGUGAAGACUGAGAGACAUGACUAAAUGCAGUGUAGGAUUCUGAAUCAAAGUCUGGAUUUUAAAAAGAACCUGUAAAUCUGUUACCUCACGUGGACAGAGACUUUGCAGAUGUGAUUGACGCUGAGGAUUUUGAGAUGGGGAAAUCAUUCUUGAGCACCCAGGUGGAUUCAGUGUAAUCACAGAGAGCCCUGGAAGUGAAAGAAGGAGGCAGGAUAGUGGAAGAAAUAGAUGUGUUGAUGGCAGCAGUGGUCAGACGGUGUGAUUGCUGGCUUUGAAGCUGGAAGGGGCCACAAGCCAAGGAAUGUGGGCAGCUUUGAGAAGCUGGAAAAUCUUGGCGUUUGCUUUCUUUGAACGUGGUCUCAUCAGUUGGCCGCCUGGGAUUGACGGGAGCUUGGCUGCUGUGAUCGCCUGAGACCCGGCUAUUUGUUACAAAAGAAUACUCGUAAAGUCAGGCUUUCAGUGGUUCACCUGCUAAGGAAGCACACCAUUCUGGAUGCUUGCAGAAGUCUUCACGUUUGACUGGAAGAUGACACGGAAAGACCACAUAUUAAUGAUGGGGCCCUAUGCCAGCUCUGAUGCCCACAAGAGCACAGAGUGUAACAGAAGUGCCCAUGAAUGAUCUGCCAAGCUAGAAAGCACUAUUAAACCCAAGAAGGCUGAAAUUCCAUAUGCCUAAGGUGAUGACCCAUCCCUCCAUUGAGAAAGUGGAAGAGACAGACAACAGUGGAGAACGAUGGUUGGGAGAAGGUGGCAUUGUUUGCAACCACACUAGACAUCAGUGUCAUUGCUGGAACCAUCUUUCAGUCAAGCAUCUAUGCAUUAUGACUGUCCAAUCCUGAGACUCCAUUCGAAUCUUGCCACUGGCCCCAAUAAUGUCCUUUACAACAAAAAGAUCCACUCCAGAACCACAUGCAGCAUUUAGUUGUCAUGUUUCUUUACUCUCAUUCAGUUUAGAACAGUUCCUCAGUGUCUUUUUGUAGCUUGUAGGCCAGUUAUUUUGUGGAAUAUUCCUCAAUUUGGGGUUAUCUGAUGUUUCUUCAUCAUUUGAUUCAGAUAUUUAUCUUUGGCGGAAAUAUUACAGAAAUGAAACUGUGUACUUACUGUAUCCUACCAGGUGGCAUACAAUUUUCUUUGUCACGUUACUGGAGAUAUUAACUUCAGUUUAUUAUCAGGGUGGUGUCUGCCAGAUUUCUCCAUGGUAUAGUUGCUUUUUAAAUCUUUUUAAUGAAUAUG